GAAGAAAGUAUUAUAAAAUACUAUCUCAAAAUCUAUCAUAUUCUCAGUUGAAACAUUGUAAGGAAUAUUGCAGAUUGGUGUUAAUGUUAGUUGCUCAGGAGUCAAUAUUAUUAGAUAAAAAUCAAUAAAUUAGAGAUUUUGUUUAGAUUUUUACACCGUACGUCGAUUAAUUAAACCUUAAUUUGAGUUUAAAAUCUAUUCAGACAAAGACUUAAACAUAAGUUAAGGUUUAAGAGAAUGCCGAAGUGGAUGAUGAACUUGAAAAAUGCCUAUAACAGAGGCGAUCGUCACUAAUACGAUUAAACCAUCCUUCUCGUAUUUCUUGUAUAUAAUAUAAAUAUUAUACGUAUUUCUUGUAUAUAAUAUAAAUAUUAUAGGAUGUUCCAGAACAACUUUCGAAGCUCUCAUGGAGACAUAGUAUGGAUUAAGAAACUAAAACAAUCAAACAGCAGGACCGAGAUAUCGGGAUUCUAACUAGAGUCUCAAGAAUAAUCCUUCGAUCAGCAAGAUAUCUAUGAGUGGCCUCCGAUAGUUGAAACCGGACGUCGGUCCUCUUUUUCGCCUUUAACACCCAGAUUCGUCUGUCUGUCUCUCCUCCGACGCGUCUCUCCGCUUCUCUUUCGUCUCGCGGAAGCCACGAGCGUUUGGCAGUUACAUGAAAUACGAGGGCGAAUCUCACUGGAUGCGCAUUGUCCAGUCGUGCCGUUGAAACCAGAGCUAGUAACAAUGGGGAGUGACCUCGGCUCGAUUGUCCUUUAAUUUACGGGAAUUGCAAGCCCCCUACUCCGCCGCGGAGUACGGCUACGCUGCCUCCGCGAAAAGCACUCACGACCCAUGGUCCCCUACAACCCUACGGCCCCUCCGGUACUCCCCCCCUUUCCCUGCUGCUCCUCUUGCCCCCCCCCCCUCCUCCCUUCUUGCUGCCUUGCACACGCGUGUCAGCCCCGUUGAGUGCGUGCGCGCGGGCGCGCGACACGAGCUUAAUUCGAUCUCCAUAAUCGCUCGAGCUUUACAUAAUCGGGGAGUGCUAAUACCGAUUGCCGCUACAACCGAUUCCCGACAUACUCCAGGCGCGAUUAAGCGGCACGGAUUACACCUGCGCGACGGCGCGACCCGCGCCCACACCUGGCACAACGUACACGAAACGCCGUGAUUCGCGCCGUUAUUGCCGGCCAUGAAUAUUUCAUAGCGCCGUUGCUUUCGACCCGGCGCCCCCGCGGAGGUGCCGUCGCGAGAAGAUAAUCGGUCGCUGAUUAAAGCGAUGAUUGCAUCGCGAGGAAUCGCCGUGACGCCGCGCGUUUAACCAGCUGCGGGCGCGGAAUUACACGCGUGUCGAGUAAACGGUGUGCGGAAUGUCACCCAGCCGCGGCACAAUCGCGAAUAUUAGAGUCCUAAAUAAUUAGAGGAGCGCAAGCAGCGUCUCGCUUGCUGACUGGCUGACUAUGACAUCGAUCCAUAUCAGAAAUGUUGG